rnacentral:rRNA from 1 species
AGUGAACGCUGGCGGUAGGCCUAACACAUGCAAGUCGAACGGCAGCACAGUAAGAGCUUGCUCUUACGGGUGGCGAGUGGCGGACGGGUGAGGAAUACAUCGGAAUCUACUUUUUCGUGGGGGAUAACGUAGGGAAACUUACGCUAAUACCGCAUACGACCUACGGGUGAAAGCAGGGGAUCUUCGGACCUUGCGCGAUUGAAUGAGCCGAUGUCGGAUUAGCUAGUUGGCGGGGUAAAGGCCCACCAUGGCGACGAUCCGUAGCUGGUCUGAGAGGAUGGUCAGCCACACUGGAACUGAGACACGGUCCAGACUCCUACGGGAGGCAGCAGUGGGGAAUAUUGGACAAUGGGCGCAAGCCUGAUCCAGCCAUACCGCGUGGGUGAAGAAGGCCUUCGGGUUGUAAAGCCCUUUUGUUGGGAAAGAAAAGCAGCAGGUUAAUACCCCGCUGUUCUGACGGUACCCAAAGAAUAAGCACCGGCUAACUUCGUG